rnacentral:rRNA from 1 species
GAUGAACGCUAGCUAUAGGCUUAACACAUGCAAGUCGAGGGACCGGCGCACGGGUGAGUAACGCGUAUCCAACCUGCCCAUAACUAAGGGAUAACCCAGCGAAAGUUGGACUAAUACCUUAUGGUUAUGGAUGGGGAUGCGUCUGAUUAGCUUGUUGGCGGGGUAACGGCCCACCAAGGCAACGAUCAGUAGGGGUUCUGAGAGGAAGGUCCCCCACAUUGGAACUGGGACACGGUCCAAACUCCUACGGGAGGAAGCAGUGAGGAAUAUUGGUCAAUGGACGCAAGUCUGAACCAGCCAAGUAGCGUGCAGGAUGACGGCCUAUGGGUUGUAAAGUACUUUCAGUCGGGAGGCGUUACCGACAGAAGAAGCACCGGCUAACUCCGUGCCAGCAGCCGCGGUAAUUC